GUCUAGCCUGCUCACUGAUAAUUAAUAUUAAAUAGCCGCGGUAUCUUGACCGUGCAAAGGUAGCAUAAUCAUUAGUUUUUUAAUUGGAAACUUGUAUGAACGGUUGGACAAAGAAGAGACUGUCUCUUUUAUUAAAGUUGAAUUUGACUUUUAAGUGAAAAGGCUUAGAUUUUCUAGAGGGACGAUAAGACCCUAUAAAGCUUUAUAAGUUCAGAGAUUUUAUACAUUUUUUCAUAACAACAAUUUCUUGAAUAUUUAUUUGGUUGGGGCGACAAUAGUAUAAUAAAAGUAACUGCUUUUAAAUUAAACAUAAAUAUGUGAGUUAUAUUUAAUUGAUCCUUUUUAAAGAUUUUAAGAUUAAGUUACUUUAGGGAUAACAGCGUUAUUUUUCCUGAGAGCUCUUAUCAAAGGAAAAGUUUGCGACCUCGAUGUUGAAUUAAAAUCUCUAUAUAGUGCAGCAGCUAUAAAAGAAGGUCUGUUCGACCUUUAAUAUUUUACAUGAUUUGAGUUCAAAACCGGA
rnacentral:rRNA from 1 species